rnacentral:rRNA from 1 species
CCUACGGGUGGCAGCAGUGGGGAAUAUUGCACAAUGGGGGAAACCCUGAUGCAGCGACGCCGCGUGAAGGAAGAAGUAUUUCGGUAUGUAAACUUCUAUCAGCAGGGAAGAAAAUGACGGUACCUGACUAGAAGCCCCCGCUAACUACGUGCCCGCAGCUGCGGGAAUAAGUAGGGGGCAAGCGUUAUCCGGAUUUAAUGGGUGUAAAGGGAGCGUAGGCGGCGAUGCAAGUCAGAAGGGAAAGCCCGGGGCUUAAAUCCGGGACUGCUUUUGAAACUGUGUUGCUAGAUUGCAGGAGAGGUAAGUGGAAUUCCUAGUGUAGCGGUGAAAUGCGUAGAUAUUAGGAGGAACACCAGUGGCGAAGGCGGCUUACUGGACUGUAAAUGACGCUGAGGCUCGAAAGCGUGGGGAGCAAACAGGAUUAGAUACCCGGGUAGUC